rnacentral:rRNA from 1 species
AACGAACGCUGGCGGCAUGCCUAACACAUGCAAGUCGAACGAGACCUUCGGGUCUAGUGGCGCACGGGGGCGUAACGCGUGGGAACCUGCCCUUAGGUUCGGAAUAACUCCCCGAAAGGGGUGCUAAUACCGGAUAAUGUCUUCGGACCAAAGAUUUAUCGCCUUUGGAUGGGCCCGCGUUGGAUUAGCUAGUUGGUAGGGUAAAAGCCUACCAAGGCGACGAUCCAUAGCUGGUCUGAGAGGAUGAUCAGCCACACUGGGACUGAGACACGGCCCAGACUCCUACGGGAGGCAGCAGUGGGGAAUAUUGGACAAUGGGCGAAAGCCUGAUCCAGCACUGCCGCGUGAGUGAUGAAGGCCUUAGGGUUGUAAAGCUCUUUUACCCGGGAUGAUAAUGACAGUACCGGGAGAAUAAGCGCCGGCUAACUCCGUG